GUUUUCUUCUCGAUCGUCUACCCUCAUUCCCACGAUCCACUCAGAUGCUCCUCCUAGACAGCAGUUGUCUGAUAUUUCUCCUUUUGUGGUUGUUUUAGGGAAAAACUUAAAAUGGAUAUGAAAAGUGAAGAAAGUGAUCAUAGGAGAAAACCAUUUCAGAUGACAAGAGCACCUCAAAGGCAGCAGCCUCAAGGAGCAGCCAUGGCCCCAGACUUGUCGCACGGAUGCAGAAAACUUAAUGGAGGAGGCUGAGCAAAACAGAGCGUGACACUCCCAAUCAUCUGCAUGCUGGAAAUGAGGAAAUGGUUAUUGAAUGAUACAAGUGCUUUUCGAUCAUUUAGAAAGUUCUGUUUCCCAAGAUCUUUUUUUUUUUUUUUU
rnacentral:lncRNA from 10 species